GUCUUCUAAUGUUGAUUUGAGCUGCCUCCGUCACAGUUUCGCUAUGUGGCCCUGGCUGUCCUGAAAGUCUAUCUGAAAGACCAGCCUAAUCUUGAACUCAGAGAUCUACCAAGAUCUACCAGCCUUUGCCUCCCAAAGGCCGGGAUUAAAGUCAUGAGCCACCAUGCCUGGAUGAAACCGGAUUUUCCAAAGCAAAGAUACAGCAUCUCCAACAAGUAAUACAUAUUUAUCGUGAGGUAGAUGCUGUGGCUUCAAUGGCCUCAGACGAAACAUGGUGCAUUUUAGUCCCUCCUGUAACUGGUAGAAGCAAGAACAGAGGAGGCUGAUGGGAGGAGGAGAUAAUAGUCAAAGAAGCAGACAGAUCACCCAGGGGCUAAUGAAGUCAUGGGCUGAUGGGUAAUCCCCACCUGGGAGACUGCGAGGACUCAAAAGGUAAAAGGGCUUACCACCAAGCCUGACAACGUGAGUUCAAUCCCUGGGUCCCACGUGGUGGAAGCAGAGAAC
rnacentral:lncRNA from 1 species